rnacentral:rRNA from 1 species
CUACGGGAGGCAGCAGUGAGGAAUUUUGCGCAAUGGGCGAAAGCCUGACGCAGCAACGCCGCGUGAGUGAUGAAGGCCUUCGGGUCGUAAAGCUCUGUCAAGUGGGAAGAACCUAUGUAAUGUUAAUAUCAUUAUAUACUGACGGUACCACUGAAGGAAGCACCGGCUAACUCCGUGCCAGCAGCCGCGGUAAUACGGGGGGUGCAUGCGUUAUUCGGAAUCAUUGGGCGUAAAGGGCACGUAGGCGGCCUGGUAAGUCAGAUGUGAAAGCCCGGGGCUUAACCCCGGAAGUGCAUUUGAUACUGUCAGGCUUGAGUAUGGGAGAGGGAAGUGGAAUUCCUGGUGUAGAGGUGAAAUUCGUAGAUAUCGGGAGGAACACCGGUGGCGAAGGCGACUUCCUGGACCAAUACUGACGCUGAGGUGCGAAGGCGUGGGUAGCAAACAGGAUUAGAUACCCCAGUAGUC